UCAUCUUCUCAACUUCUUCCCUGUAAAUCCUCCGUAGCUGUUUCUCCCACAUUUACUUCCAUUGGUUAAUUUACCAAGCUUUAUGACACUUUUAGAUUUUCUGAUUUAUUAAUAAUUGAUUUAUAUAUAAGAUUGAACGAUGGCCAAAUUAGAUCCUCACUUUCUCUCGCUAUUAGAUUUCUGGAUUAUGAUCUUAUUGGUUUCAACCCCCCAAAAUCAAUGCGUGGAGGGAUUCAGAUUUGUUAUCCUCAUGUAAUUUUAUGUAAGUUUUCUUAUAUUGUAUCUUUUCGCAUGAACAUUGUAAUUGAGUUGUUUGUGCGUAUGUCUUUUUUGUAGAUUGUGGAUCACUGGAUCAACAUAGGUUUGCAAGGGAAAAAAUCUGGGUAAUCGAUGACAAUCUACCUACACGAGUUCAUAAAAUCAUCAUUAGUUGAUCUUCAUCACUAUUUGUUCCACACGAUCUCUCUUAAGCGAUCCACUUCCUUGCUAAAUAUAUUUGUCAACUACAGAUUUCUUCAUGCCUGCAUCAAAAUCAGUUAAUCUUUUUACCUCAUAUCAUUUCUGCAAUCUCUUUUUAGUUUGAAAUAUCAGUAGGGCUUCGCUUUGCUUUGCUGUUCAUCUUACAAAGCUAACAACAAACAUAGAUUGAGAAGGCUUCCGUCUAUAGACUGACUCAGUGCAAUCUUUGAAGAUUUAAGCUGAGAGAUGGCAUGUAAUUUCCAGAUAAACGGUAAGGGACCCUCUCUUCUUUUAGAUCCAGUUUCUAUUGUUUUCUUUUCUUAUUGAAACAAGCCAGUUACACAUGCAUACUGAACGUCGAGAUCAUUAUAUUAUAAACCUACGAUUUUUAAUGACCCCUCUCACUGUUUAUUAUGUAGAUGAACCAAAAAAAAUCAUUUGCAUGCUGUGUCACGGUUGAAAGCAGUUAACGAGGAAGAAGAUCAAGGAAAAAAGAGCAGAAAGAAGUUGGGAUGUUGGGUUCACUUUAGGGAUUCUUUUUUUUGUCUGCUCUUCACACGAUAUAAUUUUCAUUAAUUAUGAUAGUGAUGAUGCAGUUGUAUGUAAACCAUGGGAAGGUGAAUUUAGGGGAUGAUGAGCACAAAAGCAUACUUUGUGUGGAUGGUUAUUACUUUGAAGCAAUGAGAAGAAUGGACUAGCCAGCUUAUAUUAAUCGCUGUUAAGAUCAGUCUCUGCUUUGAUCAACUUGAACAACAGAGCAAAGGAUUCUGAUUCUGUCUGUUUUGGAAUUCCAUCCUAAAAAAAAUCAUCCACUGCAGAGAUCAUGCGGAGGAAUAAGCUUGAUAAUGUAUUUCACUAAAAUCUUAUUGCAGAUGCUGGCUUUUUCUUACCAGUCUUACAAGAAAGGCCCAGCUCCAAGAAGUUGAGCUGGAAAAACAGCCAAGCAGCUCAAAGAGGCGUUUACAAUCUCUAGCGAAGAAACGAUCAGAUGUGCGGCAACAAAAAAAAAGGUUAUCAUAUCUCUUACCGCAUAAGUAAUUUCAAAGCUCAAAAGAAACGACCAGAUGUGCGGAAAUGCCUCACUGAGACUCUUUUACCCCAACCACUUCUCUGAUUUUCCCAGCCCGAGGCAUCUGAGUGCAAAUCUUGGGAUAUAACAUAUCUUCUAUAUAUAAAGAUAGAAAAUUUAAAGUUUUGAAAGUGUUUUACGUCUUCUUUCAUUGUAGUUUGGGGGCUCUGUGGUGUUUAUUGUGAGAAGGUAGUAAUUGUCUUAUGAAAUCAAAGCAAUCUGAUUACUCAAUUAAAAACAGAAAAUUAUUUCAAACCACCAUCCCGUUUUAUUUAAAAGUAUAUUGUAGAUCAAGUGGUUAAGUAAUCUCAAUGGGACAAUUAAAUAUCGCAGUCCAAAGAAUAUGUAUUCGGAAAAUAAAGUUGUGACAUCACAAGCAUUAUCUUAAGAUAUAUUAAAGAAAAAUAAACACAUAUUUUUAAAAGUAAUGCAUUAUAAUAAACUGAUUCAAAUUUACAGAGAAGCUGUUACUGGCUUCAUCAUCAACUACACGGUUUUACAUUUUACUUUGACAACACAAAAAAACAUAAUCGUGAACUUACAUACAAGAGCUGAGGCGAAACAUUUCACCUACAACUAAAAA